rfam:TPA: Bos taurus chromosome 9, whole genome shotgun sequence.
ACCAUCAUGGCUCAGAGGGUAAAGCGUCUGCCUGCAGUGCAGGAGAUCAGAGUUCAAUCCCUGGGUGGGA